GGCGGGGCUGGAGCCGGGAGCCCACAGCCCGGAGCCUGCCAAGCGGCGCGCACAGACCCCGCUGCAGCUGCGGGGGCGAUACUGAACCAGUAGUGAAAAAUCUUCCUCCAACUGAAACUCGGAGCACAGAUGGCUUCACUGGCAGAGUCUAGCAAAUGUGCGGGAAGGAAAGAUGGAAGCCUCGUACAGACCCUUCCAGAUAACAGGAAAAAGGAGGAACAAGCCCGACUCUUCUCUUGAGGACAGCCCCAACGUGGACACCAGAGCCUGAGGAGAGCAAGUCAACAGUCACCUGCAACGGCGACUUCAACCCUGACUCCUGGCUCAACAGGCAGACGGCAGCGAUCGGCUCACAGUCCGGGAAGGACGGCGGUGCGAGGCGGUUGGCAACCGUGGGGUCGUUUGUGGCGUCUUACACGUGCCAAGGACACGCGCCUGCCUUCUUCCCCUCAAAGCAAAGCUCAGUGGUUAAAACCUUCCCCUUCCCGCCUGCUCUUCUCUCCCAAGACGUCACGCAAAUGUCCGAGCACGCAGGCAGGUCGAAAGCCUCGCAAGUGACAGGCACACAGCCGGCGUCCGGACUGCGGGUGACCCGCUGCCGUGUUUACCUGGUGGCCGUCUCUCCGCGUCCUGCAGCCGUCAGACUCCCGCCGCAUUGCACGGCGCGUCGCCGGCCUCAGCGCGAGCCACCCCUGCACACGGCAGGUGCUCCGCAGUCCUGGGGUUCGGCGCGCCUCCAGCCGCCCCCUCGGGGAGGAGAAAGUUGCCGCCCGGGGAGUUUUGCCCGUAGCGCGCCCCGUGCCGUCCAGCCCCUCCUGGAGAACAAACGGCAGGUGCGGUCCCCCAGCAGAGAGCUCCUCACGCACCUGGCAGCCAGUCCCUGCCUGGGACCUCAGGGCGGCGUCUGCAGACUGGUUUGGUGGAAGGUCACCGCUGGGGACCCAGCAGCGUGCGUCUUCCCACGCUGCCACGAGCGUCAGUUGCCGGCUCCUCGCAGACGCUAGUCUGCCGCAGGGCUUCACCACGGCUUCUUUUCCGUUCUCCGGUGGAAGGGCGCCGGGCGCUUUCCAGUGUGGGUCUGUUAUGGGCAGAAAGGCGGCAAACUUUCCUGCCAGCGGCCUCCGAAAACGGCACUUUCUCAUCCGUGGCCGUCGGGUUUCUGCAGCUCGGACAGCAGAGGGCGGCCCUGAGCCAGCGACCGAAGCCCGGAGUCCCCAGAGCGCCGAUGUUCGCAGAACUCAGUGUGCCACGUCCCUUGCGCCACGUUCCUUGCGCCACGUCCCACCACUGCCCCCUGAGUAACAGACCGUGGGAACGGAGUCGUUACAGUGUAAAAGAAAGUCACAGCCGCAGGCCCCGUGAGGAGCCGGCCCCGCAGGUCGUUCCUUGAGGAAGUCCCGGCUGAGCUCCCAGGAGCAGGACGCGCGACUCGCACCCGUGUCCCGCAACCGACGCUGAAGCCCGCGCGGCCCCACAGUGACGGCGAGCCGCAGGUCCUGGCACAGGUGGCAGAACCGGAGACGAGACGGGAUCGGGCGUCCUGCCACCGCCGGGGCAGCUGCCUGGCUGACGCUCCAUUGCUCCCCAAGCCACGUGAAAUGCGAAACGUGGCUUCCCGGCCACGCGGGGCCGUGACCACCGCCCGCCCGCCCGCCUCCCCCUCCGCUCCGCUGCUGUGCAGUGCCGGCGCCCCGGCCUCCCUCGGCAGAGCAGCCGUGGCUCGCCUGCGGUUCGCGUUUUUCCCGGCGCGUCCUCAAAAUCUCGGCUCAAUAAACCUCCGUGGGUCGAGAUUUCUGCCUCGGUCGUUUCCGUGGGCCGACGGGACCAGACAUCCAGGAGUCUGGUCAGACGUGGCGACUCCUCACUGUCGACGAGCCGGGCACUGAGCGGCCGUCACUGGUGGCCCCGUCGCGGCGGGCUUCACCUCUGGACGGGAGCCCACCCACACGGGGCCUGCCUGGCGGAGGAGAGAUGAGGGCCUCCUGCCCUCAGGCCUCACCUGCGCCACCCUCACCUGUGCUUCUCUCACCUGCCCUGCCUUCACCUGCGCUGCCCUCACCUGCACUGUACUCGCCUGUGCUGCCCUCACCUGUGCCGCCCUCACCUGUGCCGCCCUCACCUGUGCCGCCCUCACCUGUGCCGCCCUCACCUGUGCCGCCCUCACCUGUGCUGCCCCCCACACACACACACAGGGAGCAAGGCUAGAGCUGUGCUGAGGGAGCCCCUCCCCAGGCGAGAAGCCUCAAGAGUGAGAACCGUCGCCCCACCCGGUUUCUGCCCCCCUUACCCUCGCAGCUGCUGCGCCUGGUAAGAGGAGGGUUAAACUAAACUAAAUGCAGCCUACACACACCCCCCCAUGAUCCUGUGGCCCCUCCCCUGGUGCAGCGGCCCAGCCAGGUGUGGCGGGUGGGGCCUGGGACUCCCUGUGCCCUGCGGUGGCCCAGGUGGGGUCACUGCGCCCGCCCGCGGCCUGGGGGGCCCUGGCUCUCCAUCACCUCCCAGCGGGGCUCACUCACAGGCGCCCGUCCGCGCAGGGCUGCUGCCAAAGCAGGCGGCUUAGACCAGAGCCUGGAGGCCGGUGCUGGGGCAGCGCUCAGGGCCACUGAAGGCCGCGCUGCACCUCUGUCCCUCCCACGGCAUUGGCGCCGGGCUCAGAGCACCUGCUGCCCACCCCAGGCAGGCCGACCUGGCCAGAGAAACAGGGCCGUGCGCCUAGCCCUGUGUGCUCUGCCUUCCGGAACCCUCUCCAGCCCCCGCACGGCGGGGCGUCCUCACCUCCACUCCACACACGGGAGGCGGGGGGCCGGCCCGGGCCAUGCUGCUCCCCUGUUUCCCUCCUUCCUUCGUCCCAUUCAGGAGGACCUGGCUGGCCGUGCCCCCAGCCCCCACCCCAGGGACACAGCAGGGGGGAGGGGACCACCCCAGCCUGCAAAGGCUCAGGGAGCAGAGUCCAGGGGACCCCGAGGGCCACCAGACGGGGACACAGGGUUCGGCCCGCAGCUCUGCAGCCUGAGGCCAGCUCCCUCCCCAGGACAGACCACAGCUGGGUGCGAAGGCAUCUCAAGGACCGCAAUGGAGGUGUCACAGGCCGGGCCGAGAGGCUGAUGCAGGCGGCAGGGCUGGGGUGCAGGAGAGGCCCCCCGAGAGGGCGGGUGAAGACCGGGUGCAGCUCCGCGAGCGCCUUCCCCACCCCCAGCAAGACAGGGCCCCUCCCAAGAACAAAACGGUGACAGUGAUGGAGAGCAGGCAGGGCAGCCAGCGGCCAGGAGUGUGAGGCUGGUGGGGGGGCCCCCUCCUUUCCCUAGAUCAACAAAGAAAAGGCUCCUGAGACCAGACCCGCCAAGGACAAAACUGCCGGCCCCGCAGAGAGG